rnacentral:rRNA from 1 species
GACGAACGCUGGCGGCGUGCCUAACACAUGCAAGUCGAACGGGGUCCAAGGGAGCUUGCUCCCUGAAGACCUAGUGGCGAACGGGUGAGUAACACGUGAGGAACCUGCCCCGGACUCUGGGAUAACCCGAGGAAACUCGAGCUAAUACCGGAUGCCCUCAUCGGGCCGCAUGACCUGAUGAGGAAAGUUUUUCGGUCCGGGAGGGCCUCGCGGCCUAUCAGCUAGUUGGUGAGGUAACGGCUCACCAAGGCUACGACGGGUAGCUGGUUUGAGAGAACGAUCAGCCACACUGGGACUGAGACACGGCCCAGACUCCUACGGGAGGCAGCAGUGGGGAAUCUUGCGCAAUGGGCGAAAGCCUGACGCAGCAACGCCGCGUGCGGGAUGACGGCCUUCGGGUUGUAAACCGCUUUCAGCAGGGACGAAAAUGACGGUACCUGCAGAAGAAGCUCCGGCUAACUACGUGCCAGCAGCCGCCGUAACAC